AGAGUUUGAUCCUGGCUCAGGAUGAACGCUAGCUACAGGCUUAACACAUGCAAGUCGAGGGGCAUCAGGAAGAAAGCUUGCUUUCUUUGCUGGCGACCGGCGCACGGGUGAGUAACACGUAUCCAACCUGCCCUUUACUCGGGGAUAGCCUUUCGAAAGAAAGAUUAAUACCCGAUGGCAUAAUGAUUCCGCAUGGUUUCAUUAUUAAAGGAUUCCGGUAAAGGAUGGGGAUGCGUUCCAUUAGGUUGUUGGUGAGGUAACGGCUCACCAAGCCUUCGAUGGAUAGGGGUUCUGAGAGGAAGGUCCCCCACAUUGGAACUGAGACACGGUCCAAACUCCUACGGGAGGCAGCAGUGAGGAAUAUUGGUCAAUGGGCGCUAGCCUGAACCAGCCAAGUAGCGUGAAGGAUGAAGGCUCUAUGGGUCGUAAACUUCUUUUAUAUAAGAAUAAAGUGCAGUAUGUAUACUGUUUUGUAUGUAUUAUAUGAAUAAGGAUCGGCUAACUCCGUGCCAGCAGCCGCGGUAAUACGGAGGAUCCGAGCGUUAUCCGGAUUUAUUGGGUUUAAAGGGAGCGUAGGUGGACUGGUAAGUCAGUUGUGAAAGUUUGCGGCUCAACCGUAAAAUUGCAGUUGAUACUGUCAGUCUUGAGUACAGUAGAGGUGGGCGGAAUUCGUGGUGUAGCGGUGAAAUGCUUAGAUAUCACGAAGAACUCCGAUUGCGAAGGCAGCUCACUGGACUGCAACUGACACUGAUGCUCGAAAGUGUGGGUAUCAAACAGGAUUAGAUACCCUGGUAGUCCACACAGUAAACGAUGAAUACUCGCUGUUUGCGAUAUACAGUAAGCGGCCAAGCGAAAGCAUUAAGUAUUCCACCUGGGGAGUACGCCGGCAACGGUGAAACUCAAAGGAAUUGACGGGGGCCCGCACAAGCGGAGGAACAUGUGGUUUAAUUCGAUGAUACGCGAGGAACCUUACCCGGGCUUAAAUUGCAGUGGAAUGAUGUGGAAACAUGUCAGUGAGCAAUCACCGCUGUGAAGGUGCUGCAUGGUUGUCGUCAGCUCGUGCCGUGAGGUGUCGGCUUAAGUGCCAUAACGAGCGCAACCCUUAUCUUUAGUUACUAACAGGUUAUGCUGAGGACUCUAGAGAGACUGCCGUCGUAAGAUGUGAGGAAGGUGGGGAUGACGUCAAAUCAGCACGGCCCUUACGUCCGGGGCUACACACGUGUUACAAUGGGGGGUACAGAAGGCAGCUAGCGGGUGACCGUAUGCUAAUCCCAAAAGCCUCUCUCAGUUCGGAUCGAAGUCUGCAACCCGACUUCGUGAAGCUGGAUUCGCUAGUAAUCGCGCAUCAGCCACGGCGCGGUGAAUACGUUCCCGGGCCUUGUACACACCGCCCGUCAAGCCAUGGGAGCCGGGGGUACCUGAAGUACGUAACCGCAAGGAUCGUCCUAGGGUAAAACUGGUGACUGGGGCUAAGUCGUAACAAGGUAGCCGUACCGGAAGGUGCGGCUGGAACACCU
rnacentral:rRNA from 1 species